CAACCUCAACUCAUAUGGGACUACCCCCUGAAUUUAAGCAUAUUAAUUAGGGGAGGAAAAGAAACUAACAAGGAUUUUCUUAGUAGCGGCGAGCGAAAAGAAAUCAGUUCAGCACUAAGUCACUUUGUCUAUAUGGCAAAUGUGAGAUGCAGUGUACGGAACAUCAACAUUCUAGUAUGAGAAGUUAACGAUUUAAGUCCUUCUUAAAUGAGGCCAUUUACCCAUAGAGGGUGCCAGGCCCCGAUAACGUUAAGGAUUACCUAGAUGGUGUUUCCAAAGAGUCGUGUUGCUUGAUAGUGCAACCCUAAGUGGGUGGGAAAACUCCCUCCAAAACUAAAUAUAAACCAUGAGAACCCAUAGUAAAACAAUACCCGUGAGGGAAAAUUUAAAAAGAAAUCCUAAAAUAAAGAUUUUAAUAGUAAGUGAAAACCUGUUAUAAAGGGUUAAGCCCCAAUUAAACCUGAAAUUAUCCCGUU
rnacentral:ncRNA from 1 species